UAACGCGUAGGUAACCUGCCUGGUAGCGGGGGAUAACUAUUGGAAACGAUAGCUAAUACCGCAUAAGAGUAGAUGUUGCAUGACAUUUGCUUAAAAGGUGCAAUUGCAUCACUACCAGAUGGACCUGCGUUGUAUUAGCUAGUUGGUGAGGUAACGGCUCACCAAGGCAACGAUACAUAGCCGACCUGAGAGGGUGAUCGGCCACACUGGGACUGAGACACGGCCCGG
rnacentral:rRNA from 1 species